UUAAAGGCAAUGAAGAGGCAGUAUGUGUGGUGGGGUUUGGUUGUGAGAUGCUGCUUCUCUUUUGCAAGAGGAUGCCGAAUUCUGCUUCAUCUGGCUGUUGUCAUCUACCUAAAGUGUAUGGAAGAAUUCCCAACAUUCUAAAUAUUUAACUUCAACAAUGCCUGGCAUUGCCAAUAUCCUGGAAAGGAAUAUCUGGAAGAAGACAAAAGGAUUGUCUUUACAAGAAAGCAACCAUCAGGUCACUGACAAACCACUGCAGCCUCCUCAUCUCGACCCGUGCCUGCUAACCUCAAGUCCUAUGUCCUGCUUAUCUGUCAUUCUUUCUUCAAUAUUCUGGUUUUGGGACAAUUGCUUUUCAUGUACACUGCAUGGAUCUCUCUCCAAAUGGUUGAUUCCUCUGUGGUACUGUUGUCCUACCAAGAGAGCACCUAGACUUUUAGGUGCUGUUAGAAUGGCUUUGGGCCCUUCCUGCAUUUUCUUUGUUCUCAAAGUGUGCAAAGUAGUCUCAGAGCAUGGUUGAUAGAUGAAUAGUGGAAGUAGUCAAUAUAUGAGUUCUGGAUUGUUUCAGCUUCAAUGCAGAUAUUACAAGAGUCGCAGGGAACAGGAGACAAAACUAUGCUUUAUACACCACAGAAGUAAUUCUUUAGACUGCCCAGAAAGUCUAAAGAAUUAGUAAUCUAGCUCACCAGAGUACUGUUUACAAGGAUGUAGGAAAUACUUGGGGAUAUUUCCCUUUUAAAAAUGUCUCAAUCAAGUAGGCAUUGUUAAACUUAAUCUUU